rnacentral:rRNA from 1 species
AACGCGAAGAACCUUACCUGGGUUUGACAUCUCCUGACAGCCGUAGAGAUACGGUUUCUGUAGCAAUACAGCAGGAAGACAGGUGCUGCAUGGCUGUCGUCAGCUCGUGUGGUGACAUGUUGGGUUAAGUCCCGCAACGAGCGCAACCCUUGUCUUUAGUUGCCAGCAUUCAGUUGGGCUCUCUAAAGAGACUGCCGUGGUGAACACGGAGGAAGGUGGGGAUGACGUCAAGUCCUCAUGGCCUUUAUAUCCAGGGCGACACACGUGAUACAAUGGACGGUACAGAGGGAAGCGAAACCGCGAGGUGGAGCCAAUCUCAAAAAGCCGUUCUCAGUUCGGAUUGGAGUCUGCAACUCGACUCCAUGAAGUUGGAAUCGCUAGUAAUCGCGGAUCAGCACGCCGCGGUGAAUACGUUCCCGGGCCUUGUA